GGCUGCAGUCCUGCAGUCCUAUAGAACAAACCACCCCUGAUGGAGGCUCAUUGAAGUAGAGUCAGCAAUUUCCAAUUUGGUGAAGUGUAAAUCUGGAAAACUACCGGUAAUUCUAAAGCCUGGAAUAUCUGAAAAAAUAUGUUUUAUUCUGACAUUUUAAACCAGAGUCGUCAGUCACCAUGACUAUGUAGGUGUACUGCUUGACCUACAAAUAAAGAAUUAUUUCUGUGAAAAUGUUUUACAAAAUUCUCAGAAAAGUA